rnacentral:rRNA from 1 species
UUAAGCGACUAAGCGUACACGGUGGAUGCCCUGGCAGUCAGAGGCGAUGAAGGACGUGCUAAUCUGCGAAAAGCGUCGGUAAGGUGAUAUGAACCGUUAUAACCGGCGAUGUCCGAAUGGGGAAACCCAGUGUGAUUCGUCACACUAUCGUUAACUGAAUACAUAGGUUAACGAGGCGAACCGGGGGAACUGAAACAUCUAAGUACCCCGAGGAAAAGAAAUCAACCGAGAUUCCCCCAGUAGCGGCGAGCGAACGGGGAGCAGCCCAGAGUCUGAAUCAGCUUGUGUGUUAGUGGAACGGUCUGGAAAGUCCGACGGUACAGGGUGAUAGUCCCGUACACCAAAAUGCACAGGCUGUGAACUCGAAGAGUAGGGCGGGACACGUGGUAUCCUGUCUGAAUAUGGGGGGACCAUCCUCCAAGGCUAAAUACUCCUGACUGACCGAUAGUGAACCAGUACCGUGAGGGAAAGGCGAAAAGAACCCCGGCGAGGGGAGUGAAAAAGAACCUGAAACCGUGUACGUACAAGCAGUGGGAGCACCUUCGGGUGUGACUGCGUACCUUUUGUAUAAUGGGUCAGCGACUUAUAUUCUGUAGCAAGGUUAACCGUAUAGGGGAGCCGCAGGGAAACCGAGUCUUAACUGGGCGUUAAGUUGCAGGGUAUAGACCCGAAACCCGGUGAUCUAGCCAUGGGCAGGUUGAAGGUUGGGUAACACUAACUGGAGGACCGAACCGACUAAUGUUGAAAAAUUAGCGGAUGACUUGUGGCUGGGGGUGAAAGGCCAAUCAAACCGGGAGAUAGCUGGUUCUCCCCGAAAGCUAUUUAGGUAGCGCCUCGUGAACUCAUCUUCGGGGGUAGAGCACUGUUUCGGCUAGGGGGUCAUCCCGACUUACCAACCCGAUGCAAACUACGAAUACCGAAGAAUGUUAUCACGGGAGACACACGGCGGGUGCUAACGUCCGUCGUGAAGAGGGAAACAACCCAGACCGCCAGCUAAGGUCCCAAAGUCAUGGUUAAGUGGGAAACGAUGUGGGAAGGCACAGACAGCCAGGAUGUUGGCUUAGAAGCAGCCAUCAUUUAAAGAAAGCGUAAUAGCUCACUGGUCGAGUCGGCCUGCGCGGAAGAUGUAACGGGGCUAAACCAUGCACCGAAGCUGCGGCAGCGACACUAUGUGUUGUUGGGUAGGGGAGCGUUCUGUAAGCCUGCGAAGGUGUGCUGUGAGGCAUGCUGGAGGUAUCAGAAGUGCGAAUGCUGACAUAAGUAACGAUAAAGCGGGUGAAAAGCCCGCUCGCCGGAAGACCAAGGGUUCCUGUCCAACGUUAAUCGGGGCAGGGUGAGUCGACCCCUAAGGCGAGGCCGAAAGGCGUAGUCGAUGGGAAACAGGUUAAUAUUCCUGUACUUGGUGUUACUGCGAAGGGGGGACGGAGAAGGCUAUGUUAGCCGGGCGACGGUUGUCCCGGUUUAAGCAUGUAGGCUGGUUAUCCAGGCAAAUCCGGAUAAUCAAGGCUGAGGUGUGAUGACGAGGCACUACGGUGCUGAAGUAACAAAUGCCCUGCUUCCAGGAAAAGCCUCUAAGCAUCAGGUAACAUCAAAUCGUACCCCAAACCGACACAGGUGGUCAGGUAGAGAAUACCAAGGCGCUUGAGAGAACUCGGGUGAAGGAACUAGGCAAAAUGGUGCCGUAACUUCGGGAGAAGGCACGCUGGUGUGUAGGUGAAGUCCCUGCGGAUGGAGCUGAGACCAGUCGAAGAUACCAGCUGGCUGCAACUGUUUAUUAAAAACACAGCACUGUGCAAACACGAAAGUGGACGUAUACGGUGUGACGCCUGCCCGGUGCCGGAAGGUUAAUUGAUGGGGUUAUCCGUAAGGAGAAGCUCUUGAUCGAAGCCCCGGUAAACGGCGGCCGUAACUAUAACGGUCCUAAGGUAGCGAAAUUCCUUGUCGGGUAAGUUCCGACCUGCACGAAUGGCGUAAUGAUGGCCAGGCUGUCUCCACCCGAGACUCAGUGAAAUUGAACUCGCUGUGAAGAUGCAGUGUACCCGCGGCAAGACGGAAAGACCCCGUGAACCUUUACUAUAGCUUGACACUGAACAUUGAGCCUUGAUGUGUAGGAUAGGUGGGAGGCUUUGAAGCGUGGACGCCAGUCUGCGUGGAGCCAACCUUGAAAUACCACCCUUUAAUGUUUGAUGUUCUAACGUUGGCCCCUGACCGGGGUUGCGGACAGUGUCUGGUGGGUAGUUUGACUGGGGCGGUCUCCUCCCAAAGCGUAACGGAGGAGCACGAAGGUUAGCUAAUCCUGGUCGGACAUCAGGAGGUUAGUGCAAUGGCAUAAGCUAGCUUGACUGCGAGCGUGACGGCGCGAGCAGGUGCGAAAGCAGGUCAUAGUGAUCCGGUGGUUCUGAAUGGAAGGGCCAUCGCUCAACGGAUAAAAGGUACUCCGGGGAUAACAGGCUGAUACCGCCCAAGAGUUCAUAUCGACGGCGGUGUUUGGCACCUCGAUGUCGGCUCAUCACAUCCUGGGGCUGAAGUAGGUCCCAAGGGUAUGGCUGUUCGCCAUUUAAAGUGGUACGCGAGCUGGGUUUAGAACGUCGUGAGACAGUUCGGUCCCUAUCUGCCGUGGGCGCUGGAGAAUUGAGGGGGGCUGCUCCUAGUACGAGAGGACCGGAGUGGACGCAUCACUGGUGUUCGGGUUGUCAUGCCAAUGGCACUGCCCGGUAGCUAAAUGCGGAAGAGAUAAGUGCUGAAAGCAUCUAAGCACGAAACUUGCCCCGAGAUGAGUUCUCCCUGAGACUUUAAGUCUCCUGAAGGAACGUUGAAGACGACGACGUUGAUAGGCCGGGUGUGUAAGCGCAGCGAUGCGUUGAGCUAACCGGUACUAAUGAACCGUGAGGCUUAACCUU